rnacentral:rRNA from 1 species
UGGCGGACGGGUGAGUAACGCGUGGGUAACCUGCCGUAUACAGGGGAUAACACUUAGAAAUAGGUGCUAAAACCGCAUAAGCGCACAGCGCCGCAUGGCGCAGUGUGAAAAACUCCGGUGGUAUACGAUGGACCCGCGUCUGAUUAGCCAGUUGGCAGGGUAACGGCCUACCAAAGCGACGAUCAGUAGCCGGCCUGAGAGGGUGGACGGCCACAUUGGGACUGAGACACGGCCCAAACUCCUACGGAAGGCAGCAG